ACGCUUCUGUGGCGGCGGUGGAAACAGUUGACGGUGUGGCAAUUAUCCUCAAUUAUAUACGGUCUUUAAAUAAAGAAGAUGUCAUUUUGCUCCUGGUUUGGAGGUGAAAAGUACAGAGAUCAUUUUGAACAUGGUCUGUACGCCUGCUCCGAGUGCGGUCAUCCGCUGUUCCCCAGCGAGGCAAAGUACCAGCACCACACUCCGUGGCCAGCCUUCACCAAGCCUGUGUCUGCAGAUGCCCUGAAAAGGAGGAAGGAGUCGUCAACAGCGUUCAAGGUCUGUACGGCUGCGCCGAGUGCGAACACCCGCUGUUCCGCAGCUCUGCCAAGUACGAGCACCACACGCCGUGGCCGGCUUUUACUGAGCCGGUGGCCGAUGACUCGCUGAGCAAACUGCCCGAGACUGAGCAGCAGGAGAGCUCGCCGUGCACGGCGCUGAAGGUGUUGUGCGGAAAGUGCGGUAACGGCCUGGGUCACGAGUUCAUCGGAGACGGCCCCAAGGGCGGCUCGCGCUUCUGAAUAUUCUCUCACGCUCUCAAGUUUGUACCUCACAAAGAGGUCAUCAAGCGUGAGGGCGCUGCCAACGGCACCAGCACGGGGUCGGUCUCUGGUGAUGUGAAGAAGCAGUAAGCGGUGAAGAUGUGGAAACUAUCGCGGGGCCGGCCGGUCGGGCGGCGAGAACGGAUAUUGGUGGGCGGACGCUGCCUCAAGAUAAGGCAUGGAUGAAGCAACCAUGGAGUGCUGACUAUCGCACGAAGACUGGACGCAAAUAUUGGUCAUUCGCCUACACACGGAUAUGAAUCCGCGUCAGAAAUGACGUGCUAAUUACUUGAAAUGCAGCCUGCGGUCCACGCUUAUGAAGUCAAAGGUAACCAGAUUUGUCCGUGAUCCGUCACUGGUUCCGACGAAACUGGCAAACCGAAACAAAAACAAAUAGAGAAGCAAAUCGAACAAACAAGCACACAUGACAGACGGCGGUGGCGGCGCCGGGCGGCUCCUGAGUCGGGGUCGGAUGACGCUCAGUAGGCAGACCGCUGCGGCGGACCCACUGGGCCGAGGGUAUACCCCGACCGCGGCGUCCCGGCACCGCUACCGCUGUGACCCGAUCGGUCGGCGCCCGGGGGGGGGGGAGAGGGAGGAGAGAAGUAGGUAGACAGGUAGAGAAGUAGAGAAGGAGGGAGUGAGGGAGGGAGGCAGAGAAUGUUCUACAGAGGGAUUAAGGGCCGUGUUGUGUACUCGUACUUCGUACCUGUGGUGUGGGGACGGGGGAGGGGGCGUUUUGGAACGUCAAGUGAAAUGAGAUGUGUGCCAUCAACGAAGGCGCCUGCUAUGACUCAGUUACCAUGUCACGAUUCUUUUGGUGCGAUGUUCCCGACAUGACGUAUUCAGGUUCAGUGAAUGUUGUUUGUCGCGAUAUAUUUGUUCUAAGUGCUAAACGUCAUUUAUUCGUAAUCCGGCCCAGCUUUGGAGGGACACGGGUAACAGUUUUCAGUUCAAAGUUUCUCGAUACUGAUUGCCCCAGCAUGACAUGCGCCCACGUUCCUCAAGACGCUGAUAUCGCUUUUGUUCGUAUUCAACUCUGGUGCGUUUGACGUCUCUUGUUCAGUUUACUCUACGGAGGCUGAACACCUGAUGUUUUUAGCUCAUGUUACCUACUUUAGGGCGGCACAACGAUAUUUGUCAACGUAUUGCUAUCGCGUCGCACUUCACAGUGUCCCAAACUUUGCUUUUGCGAGACGUGCUCUAUCGUGAACCGCGCAGAUACCUACUGCGGCCUUUAUGCGUGUUCCCGCUCAACACAUGAUAUUGUGGCGCUUAUAAAUGUAUUUUCGCACGAAGAAGCGCGAACGUCAUGUCACAGCCUGCCUUUGUGUCCGGGGCUCAGGCUUUUUAGAGAUGUCCUUGAGACAGAUGGGACGGCUGUUCGUACUUAUACUUAAGUGAAGAAUGAUCUGUGGGGUACAUACGAGUUAUAAAUCACAGUUCUCACGUGUUCUUACGAACACAUCGCUAAUUAAAAAUGCCUAUUUAUGAAGCUCAGGAACGCCGUUUUAUUUUAUCCCGAUCAACUUGUAUCGAUCUUGCCAGCUCGAUGACAUCAAUACAUCCCACAAGCUGGA
rnacentral:misc_RNA from 1 species